rnacentral:rRNA from 1 species
CCUACGGGUGGCAACAGUGAGGAAUAUUGGUCAAUGGCCGGAAGGCUGAACCAGCCAUGCCGCGUGAAGGUCAAUGCCCUAUGGGCGUUAAACUUCUUUUGUGCGGGAGCAAUAAUGGUCACGUGUGACCAGACGACAGUACCGUUCGAAUCAGCAUCGGCUCACUCCGUGCCCGCAGCCGCGGUAAUUCGGGGGAUGCAAGGGUUAUCCGGAUUUAUUGGGUUUAAAGGGUGCGUAGGCUGUGAGGUAAGUCAGAGGUGAAACGCCCCCGCUCAACGGGGUGAAGUGCAAGUGAUACUGCCAUGCUUGAGUGCGGAUGCGGUGGGAGGAAGUGGUGGUGUAGCGGUGAAAUGCAUAGAUAUCACACAGAACACCGAUUGCGAAGGCAGCUCACGAAUCCGCGAUUGACGCUGAUGCACGAAAGCGUGGGUAUCAAACAGGAUUAGAUACCCGUGUAGUC